rnacentral:rRNA from 1 species
AUUGAACGCUGGCGGCAGGCCUAACACAUGCAAGUCGAGCGGUAACACAGGGAGCUUGCUCCCGGGUGACGAGCGGCGGACGGGUGAGUACUGUCGGGGAAACUGCCUGAUGGAGGGGGAUAACUACUGGAAACGGUAGCGAAUACCGCAUAAUGUCGCAAGACCAAACAGGGGGACCUUCGGGCCUCUUGCCAUCCGCUGUGCCCAGGUGGGAUUAGCUAGUAGGUGGGGUAACGGCUCACCAAGGCGACGAUCCCUAGCUGAUCUGAGAGGAUGACCAGCCACACUGGAACUGAGACACGGUCCAGACUCCUACGGGAGGCAGCAGUGGGGAAUAUUGCACAAUGGGCGCAAGCCUGAUGCAGCCAUGCCGCGUGUAUGAAGAAGGCCUUCGGGUUGUAAAGUACUUUCAGCGGGGAGGAAGGUGUUGAGGUUAAUAACCUCAGCAAUUGACGUUACCCGCAGAGGAAGCACCGGCUAACUCCGUGCCAGCAGCCGCCGUAA